AAGAGCCGCAUGACGCGAGAGUGUCACGUGUGGUUCUGUGAGAGGGUGCGGGUGAAACCCCUGUGCUCUACUCGAU
rnacentral:ncRNA from 1 species